rnacentral:rRNA from 1 species
UGGGGCCAUUAUGUACUGAGCUGUUCGGGAGACAUGGU